AGCGAGAUGGCGCAGCUGGUAGCGCGCUGGGCUCAUAUCACGUGACCCAGAGGUCGUCGGAUCGAAACUGACUCUCGCUA
rnacentral:tRNA from 1 species